rnacentral:rRNA from 1 species
UACGUAGGGUGCGAGCGUUUGUCCGGAAUUAUUGGGCGUAAAGAGCUUGUAGGCGGUUUGUCGCGUCUGCCGUGAAAGCCCAGGCUUUAACCCUGGGUCUGCGGUGGGUACGGGCAGACUAGAGUGUGGUAGGGGAGACUGGAAUUCUGGUGUAGCGGUGAAAUGCGCAGAUAUCAAGGAGGAACACCGAUGGCGAAGGCAGGUCUCUGGGCCACUACUGACGCUGAGGAAGCGAAAGCGUGGGGAGCAAACAGG